AACAAUAUCACCACCUACUGGUUUCUUUCGUAGUGUGUUUGUUUUGUUUCGUUUUUAGGACGCUUUGAGGAGUGCGUCAAAUCUUUUGUCACUAUUUGUGACGAAUAACAAAUUGUACGGUCCCGCAACGCUGCUCACCGCUGUCGAAGGCCUUGGUGGUUCCCUUCAGCACCUCCAGGGUGAGCGCGGCGAUGAUGUCCGCCUGGCGGGCGAUGGCCUGGGCUCGCUCCACGGCCUCCGCCCCCAGCGAGGUGAUCAUCUGGGUGCCGUUGAUCAGAGCCAGGCCCUGCCGGGAGCAGACGGAACAUAGGGUAUGUUGGAAUUACGCGACAGAAAUGACGCCAUUCACUCAUUUGCUGCGUGCUGCGUUCCCCAUAUUGCCAGCCGUUUUAGAGAAUUUUGACUGAUCUUUCAAGACCCACGGAGUAUUGUGUGCUGUGUCAAUAUUAACCAGAGAACCUGCCAAAAGAAACUCUUCUUUCACCAGAAAAAUAGUUCGUUUCUGGCUUUUUCCUUUCUUUUUGUAAUUAUCUGUAGAAAAUGGGUUGGUUUCAGCAAAAACACCAGUUUCUUACCAAAUGGUGGAGAAAACAGUGAUUUUUUUGACACAAAUAUUCCGGGCUUUUGUAACACCUCAAAUGAUGAAAACAACAAAAACAAAGACGGAAAAAGGGAUUUUGAUGGCAAAAUAAUCAUUUAUUUACUGAUAUACAACAAGAACAAAACACAGCGCGAGUAACGCUGACUCACCGCAUGGCUCGAGUCGAGUCGACAUGCCGUGCCUCAUUCACCAUCACCAUUUCUCACCAUCGUGACACCUACUUCUACUUUCUGCUACCUACUGCAGCACUACCAUACAUAUACAUACUCUGUUUUAGUUGAGUGAGGUGCCUCAACUUGUCCGAUUUCCAACGUGUUGGCAUUUCUCUCCCGGGUAAUCGAUGUUACAAGCCGAGAGUCACCGCCUAAUCGUUAUCUUCUACUUACGAGCUGUGCUGAUCUCAAAUCCAUAGCGAUGCAACGCCGACAUCCACGGGAAUCUGUUUGUCGCCGAGCUGAAUUUCACAGACAAGUACUUGUACGUACUUGACGAUGACUGUAAUGCACUUUAUUUUGGAGUCAGCCAGUCCUCCCCUCACUGUCUCUAGCUGGCCCAACUCCUAACUGGAGUAUGGACGAGGGAGCACAUGAGUCCCUCCGCUGGCUGCCAGUGCAGUUUUGAAUACAUUUGAAGAUUCUUUUAUUCCUUUUUAAAACUAUAAAUGGUCUUGCCCCGCCCACCUUACCUCGCUGAGCUACUCCAUCCCUCUGCCCCUGCCCAGUGCCUCAGGUCAGCCUAUCAGCUGCUUCUUGUGGUACCGAGGUCUAGGCUGAAGCUUUUCCGUCACUGGUCCCUCGUUAUGGAAUGACCUUCCUCUGCACAUCAGAGAAACCCCUUCACUGUCCGUUUUUAAAACCUGUCUUAAAACCCGCCUUAAGCCUCAGCAUCUGUUUUACUGUUGUCAUUUUUUCUGUUUGUUUUUUGUUUGAAUUGUUUAUCUUAAAUAGUUUGUAUUUCUUAAAAUGAUUUUUUGUUAUCUGUAUACAGCUGUGGUUGUAUUUAAAGUGCUUUAUAAAGAAAGUUGAGUUGAGAAAACACAUCGGUGGCAGUAAACGGUUGGAUUCCAGUUGACCAUAAUAAACGUCCACGGCCGUGAAUGAGUUCAUGGUGCACCCGAUUAAUGUUUUCCUUUGACUGAUGAGUCAACGAUAGAGUCCGCCGUAUACAAAUCCCGAUAUAAUGAUUUGGGAGAAGGGAAUGCGUGAAUGAUUCUGAACACAACCACAGUGUCUGUUUGCGUCCUGUAGUUGGGAUGGAUGAUGUAAUGUGGACCCUAGCUCCUUCUCUUUUGGGCAACAUUACCUCUUUGGGCUUCAGCGAUAUUGGCUUUAGCCCAUGGGCCGCCAGGACCUGGUCACAGAUGAAAGGAGGGAGACAAAAAAACGUUAAAGGUCAAGGGUCGUCAAUGGCAAACAUGUUUUCCCGUUGGACCUUGCAUCCUUCAGCGAGCAGGCCAGUCGGCCAGUCAGCAGCCGUGAAAGCUUAUCUUACGUAUUUGGCGUCGGCCCAUCCGCUCUUAGGCGACCACAUUUUACCCUCGCCCAUCAGUCCCAGGGCCAGGUGAGAGAGGGGCGCCAGGUCUCCGCUGGCACCCACCGUGCCCUUCUCGGGGACGAACGAGAGGCAGGAAGCUGCAACGUGAGACCCACGUCAUCCAACAACACAUACACUGCGACCUUGAUUCUGUUUUUCAUGUUACAAGCGGUUGCUCGGUCAAACUUUUUUUUUUUUUGCCUUGUGUCGCGAUUUGCCAUACGGGCGACCUUCAGAUGCACCUUCGCUCGAGCGAGGAGUACAAAACUGAGUAAUUCAGGCGCAUGUGCCUUUAUCGACACGGGACAAACUCAUAUACAACAUGAGAACACUUGCAAGGAGCAGACCCUCAUGCGAAACGAAUCAGCCUCACUUACUCCAGCUCUUGAGUGUAACUACUGUAUUGUAGUAUCUGUGUGUUUGAUGUGUUCCUUUAAGGGGCUUGGCCUGCUGAGUGACAUCGGAAGCUGGAGUCAGUUUGGCCGGUUAGUCCGCGUGUGAGCAUCUGGGCGUGAGUUGCGGCCUACGGCGGCUACUUGCAAGUGUUCUCUGCAAGUGCAUCGGCGACUGUGGCUCGCCUCGCCCACAUGCGACAAAUCCGCUUAACACUAAUCGAGCGACAGCCGGCUCGUAACGAAUAUGGUCCAGGUGGUGGUUCUCACCGUUGAAGGCCUGGAUCAUGGCGUGAAGGGUCUCCAGAGAGAUGCCGCUGUGCCCUUUGGCCAGAACGUUGAUCCUCAGAGCCAGCAGCAUGCGGGUCCUCUCCGGGCUCAGCGGGUUGCCCACACCUGCACACCGCUCUGACAUUUAAUGUCGUCAUUGUCUUUAGCACUUGUCUCUUUUAGGCUCUUGGGCGUCCAAAAGUAUGGUCAGCUCAGGUUUUUGACAUGAGGUAAAAAUGUCAUCAAAAUGAAGAAAAGUAUCAUUUUUUUCCCGCUGUUGAGACCCUAAGAAUUACUACUAACGCAUGCAAUGUAAAGGUCCCAUUUUUUUUCAUCAUAACAUGAUGACUUAGUUAACUUUGUCAUCUACAGUAUGCAGUUUGUGGGUCAGAUUUCCGUGUGUUUCUGAUGUAGAUGUAGAUAAUUAUUCAAGUACCUGCCCACUUUGUGGUUGGUACACGCCCACUCAACUCAGCUGAACGGCAACACGGCAUGUUGUGGGUUUUAAGUGAGCGACAUAUGACGGGAGACGUAUCAAAGACAACCCUCCGACAGCGCACCUUGACGUCGACCAAUACGAUUGCUUCUUUCAACGGUGUAUUGCCUCCCUUGCUUGCCGUUGACGGCUUUUAUUCACGCGCACAAACCAGUGUGUGCAUACAGGACACGUUUACAUACAAAUUGUAAUACAUACUAGCCGCUACAUAACGUGUAACCUGCUUGGAAGCUGCAUUAAAAUCUCCUUGAAUGGACAGCCCGAAACGUGACACCACGUGUUUUUUUCCCCCUCUUUUUGUUCUUAUUUUUCCCCAACAUUGCCGCGGCCAUCCAUGGUAACAGUUGUAUCCAUUUGCGGUGAAAGCUGACACAUUUUCUGGUCAUGCCUCCCCGACAUUGUUUGAUUUGACAAGACAAAGCCCAGUAAUCGUAAAAGAUGCGAUCCACUGGUAUCGGAAUACACGUCGUGUAAUGUUGCCACUGUCUGACCGAGAUACGGCAGUAGCCUGACAUAGUACAAUCGUGAAAGACCAAAUUUGCCUUGUAGUCUGAGCCAGGCAUUAGUGGGCCAACAAGCCAACGCUUGGUGAAUUCUGCUUCACAAUGAUAUGAAGACCCCACAUCCAAGGAUCCAACUCUCAACCGCCACAACAUGGUGUGAUAUCGCCAAGGACUAAUCAGCGCAAAGCUGUAUUCCACAUAUAAAUUCACAAUAACAGUGAUCCAAUCAGAGGAAAGCUUAUUUACAUAUCAAAUCGUAAUGAGAAAUGAGACUAUCUUAAUUGCCAGGCGUAAAAGACCGACUAGAGUCGCUUGAAAAGGGCAUCCUGGGAAUUUCUGACCCAAAUUAUCUUGCAAACCCCCCCCCCCCCCAAAAAAAAAUUUAAACUUUGAAAUCAGAAAAAUAUGUAUGCAAUCAUGUUUGUAAUUGGAGUUUACCUGCUGAGUGUGAGCGCACCAGGUUCUCUUGCAGCUCCCUGUGCAACACAUACACACACACAAAAAAACACUCAAAAACUCAGGUUUUAGCUCCAAACAUUUGAAUUAUUAAAAUGCGUGUUUUUUAUUACUUGAGUUUGCUGACAGGAAUGACGGUCCGAGCAAAUUUGCCGAAACCGGUCGUGAUCCCGUACACAACUGCAAUGGAGACCGAUACAAACGAACAACUGAGUUGUGUAGGUUUGAACACAAUAUCAUGUUUGUGUUGAUCUGACCUACCUUUGUUUUCCUUGACGAUGGUGUCCAAAAGUUCUCUGGAUUGCACAACUUUCCUCUCUGCCUCAGAGGUCAGCUGAAAGGUUAGGCGGGACGCAAAAAAAAAAAAAAAAAAAAAAAAAAAAAAGAAAACGUGAGUGGAAGAUCAGCACUGACAAUCUGGAGUGUUUGGAUCGUUACUGACUGUUAUCUUGUAGAGGCCUCUGCCUAAGUUGACCAGGUCUGUCGAGGUCAGGCUGUUGCCAUCCAAACAAAUAUACUGCGGAGGUCACAAAAAACAAUGUGUUCCCUAAGCACAAAAAAAGCAGAAUAAAUGCGUAGACUUACAUCUCCGGGUUCUCUGUAUGCCGCUGUGCUAUUUUGUUUGCGCGAUUCGUGUAAGGAUAACAGUUAGGACCGUUCACAUGGAAAUGUCAUUGAACUUAUAAAA